UUUUUUUUUUUUUUUUAAGAUUAAAGAAAUCACUAAAUCAUAGAGAUUCACUAAAUCAUUGAGAUUGUAAGAUUGAAAUCAUUGGUUAUUUCCGUUUCUAACAUUUAUUUUCCUUCUUCAAUCUUAUUUUAGGCUUUUCCUGCCAGAACAGCAUGCACCGGAUAGAGUCCGUAAGGCAUACAGAGACAAGCCAUAUACUGUAAUUGGUAUGAGAGUUGCCUAUGGGAAUAUGUAGAAUAUCAUUGAUGGAUGUGAUGAGGCUUGAGUUGGAGGUAUUCAAUUUGACUUAGGAGCAUACUAGAGCAAGAUGACAAGAUAAGAUGGUGCUGAACAACCUUGAGAAAACAUGUAUGCAAAAAGAUCCUCAAUGGUUUGGUUGCUUACAACAUUAGACCCAUAAAGACUUUUAACAAGGAAAGCAUGAAGUCCAUAAACAAAGGGUUAAACUAUUUGAAUUUUGGUGUAUUUUAGGAUUAUAAAUGUUAUUUUGAGCUAUGACUCUAAAUUUUUAUGAUGUUAUGAAGAAAGGCUUUUGUUUUUCUUCUA